GAUGAACGCUGGCGGCGUGCCUAAUACAUGCAAGUCGAGCGAACGGACGAGAAGCUUGCUUCUCUGAUGUUAGCGGCGGACGGGUGAGUAACACGUGGAUAACCUACCUAUAAGACUGGGAUAACUUCGGGAAACCGGAGCUAAUACCGGAUAAUAUUUUGAACCGCAUGGUUCAAAAGUGAAAGACGGUCUUGCUGUCACUUAUAGAUGGAUCCGCGUUGCAUUAGCUAGUUGGUAAGGUAACGGCUUACCAAGGCAACGAUGCAUAGCCGACCUGAGAGGGUGAUCGGCCACACUGGAACUGAGGCACGGUCCAGACUCCUACGGGAGGCAGCAGUAGGGAAUCUUCCGCAAUGGGCGAAAGCCUGACGGAGCAACGCCGCGUGAGUGAUGAAGGUCUUCGGAUCGUAAAACUCUGUUAUUAGGGAAGAACAUAUGUGUAAGUAACUGUGCACAUCUUGACGGUACCUAAUCAGAAAGCCACGGCUAACUACGUG
rnacentral:rRNA from 1 species